AGCGAACGCUGGCGGCAGGCCUAACACAUGCAAGUCGAACGAAGCCUUCGGGCUUAGUGGCGGACGGGUGAGUAACACGUGGGAACGUACCUUUUGGUUCGGAACAACUCAGGGAAACUUGAGCUAAUAUCGGAUGAGCCCUUAGGGGGAAAGAUUUAUCGCCGAAAGAGCGGCCCGCGUUAGAUUAGCUAGUUGGUGAGGUAAAGGCUCACCAAGGCAACGAUCUAUAGCUGGUCUGAGAGGAUGAUCAGCCACACUGGGACUGAGACACGGCCCAGACUCCUACGGGAGGCAGCAGUGGGGAAUCUUGCGCAAUGGGCGAAAGCCUGACGCAGCCAUGCCGCGUGAAUGAUGAAGGUCUUAGGAUUGUAAAAUUCUUUUACCAGGGACGAUAAUGACGGUACCUGGAGAAAAAGCCCCGGCUAACUACGUGCCAGCCGCCGCAGUAAAAC
rnacentral:rRNA from 1 species